rnacentral:tRNA from 2 species
GCCCCUGUAGCUCAAUGGUUUGAGCCCCACGUUUCUACGUUGGAGGUUGAGGGUUCAAAUCCCUCCAGGGGCA